AGCUUCCUCCACCUACUGACC
rnacentral:misc_RNA from 1 species